GACGGAUUACGCAUGUUGUAUUCUCCUAAUUCUCUCGUCCCUCCCGAAAUAUCGGGACUUUGGCCCGCUUCUGCAAAAGCUCCAUCUGAUAGAAUUCCAAGAGCUUUACCAAAAAAUACCAAAAUACUAAAAGUUUUGAAGUCGAGAAAUAUUACAACCGUAACAGGAGACAACUCUAGAAAAGAGCUACUUUCACAAAAAAAUCCUCAUCAUGGUGUAUACACGAGCAUUCGGGAUUAUGGUGUUGAAGGAAUUCUUAUCAUUCCAAGAUGGGCAGUCAAUGUUUU